CGCCGCCGCCGCGGUUCCUUACAUGCGGUGGCCCGGGUGGCUGCCAGCGCUGCCGCCCGCUGCCCGCCGCCCCGGCAUCCCGAGCUGCCUCCCGACGUGCCAGCCCGGCGCGCAGGUGUACAGGAAAGAAAUGCACAAAAUCCUGACCGAUCGGAAUAAUUCAUGAAGAAGGGGCUGGAUCCGUGGGUCAGAGAACACAGGACCAGUCUGCCGUCCCAAGGCCGAAGUCUGGUGUCUUGGAUUUGGCCCUGCGUUGCCCACUCCUGCUGGAUCUUGUCCAGUCGAGGGACAAAACGUCCUGACACCCUCCUGAAGGAUGGGAAGAGAGGAGAUUCUGAAGGCACAGAUGGCAAUACGUGCCAGAGGCGGAGGAAACCGAUGCCUGAGGGGGUUGCCCCCACACCAGCAGGAGCACCGAGGAGGCGGGAGCCGGAGGCACGCAGGCCCAAGAAGGGUAGAAAUCCCAGCAAUGACCAAGGCUGUCAUAGCAGCUCCCGGGCUGGCCAUCCAGGCCCCACCGGAUGGAGGACCACAGCGGCUCUCGCUUUGCAACUGCACAAGCUGCACCAAAGGCCAGAGACGCUGAAGAAGCAGCGUGAAUCCCGAAGCUUUCAGAAUAACCCGGAGAAAGCUGUCCGUUGAGUGGCAGCCCGUUUUGCCGGGGGACGUUGUAAGAAGAGACCUCCCCUUCCUCACCGCUCCCAUCCGCCCUGGACGCCCGUCCUCAUGGGCCCUGAAGACCUCACAUCCCCCUCGAAGCGUGCUGCUCCUGCCUCAGCCGUGGUAGUUCUGCUUAACCUUCUCUAUGAGAUAAAUGUUCGUUUUUUUUUCCUCCCUC